CUUCCUCCCCUUCCCUUCCCCACCCACCUCGCCAUCUCCGCCUUCCUUCCUUCCUCACCCACCACCAUGGCCGCGCACUCCGUCGCCGCCGCGCACGCCACCAUGGCCGCGCCAGCCGGGGCCGCCUCCUCCGCCUGCUCCGCCCCGGCAGAGCGCCUCGGGUUCCGCCUCAGCUCGCUCGCCGGCCGCGGCCUCCGCCUCCCUUCCCGCCCUUCCGCCGCCUCGUCUUCCUCCUCC
rnacentral:lncRNA from 1 species